UGUCGGUCCCCUCGCGACACGAAACCGUAAACCUGGUCAGGCCCGGAAGGGAGCAGCCAUAGCGGUGGACUGUGCGCCGGGGUGUGGCUGGCAGGU
rnacentral:SRP_RNA from 1 species